UCUCUCCAAUGAUCCUGAAUGAGCCCUUUGAAUUCCUCUCCUGCAACUGAUCUCCCCAUGGGGAGUGGUGAGGGAAUGGGUGACAGGAAGGGACCCUAACCCAACGUAGUUCAGAGCUGGUGAGUUUUAGGAGCAUUUCAGUACCAAACACAGCUUCACGACUGAGAAUCAUCAGUCAUCCCCAGCUUUCUAUUUCAUUUGCUAACCUCUCUAGGAACAACUGGAUGUUGUAAAUGUUUCUCAUCUGGCCUUAAAAUCCAUGAAAGCUGGAAAAUGCCAAGGCAUCUGUGCACAUACUGGUGGAUUUUAAUGAGAGUCCUGUGUUUGGAGCACCAGAAAUAAACCAGCUUCAGAAGCAAAGUGAGCCCGAGAAUUUGCAUUUCUGACAAGAUCCCAGGAUUUGAACGUCUAUGACACUCUUCCGAGCUGACACAGUGAAGAACAUGGAAGGAGAACUCACCCAGUCUGCCAGGGUCACAGAUGAUCAUACUCAAGAUCUUCCUGGGGAGUCAACGGCAAAUUUCACUGGG
rnacentral:sRNA from 1 species